rnacentral:misc_RNA from 1 species
AGCAGCCGCGGUAAUUCCAGCUCCAAUAGCGUAUAUUAAAGUUGUUGCAGUUAAAAAGCUCGUAGUUGAAUUUCGGGAUUGGCGCAUCGGUCGUGCCUCACGGGGUAUGAACUGGUGCAGUCAAUUUCUCACCUUCUGGAGAACCGCGAUGUCCUUAAUUGGAUGCCGCGGGGAACCAGGACCUUUACUUUGAAAAAAUUAGAGUGUUUAAAGCAUGCAUUUUUGCUUGAAUACAUUAGCAUGGAAUAAUAAAAUAGGACGGCAUGGUUCUAUUUUGUUGGUUUCUAGGACCACCGUAAUGAUUAAUAGGGAUAGUUGGGGGCAUUAGUAUUCAAUUGUCAGAGGUGAAAUUCUUGGAUUUAUUGAAGACUAACUACUGCGAAAGCAUUUGCCAAGGAUGUUUUCAUUAAUCAAGAACGAAAGUUAGGGGAUCGAAGACGAUCAGAUACCGUCGUAGUCUUAACCAUAAACUAUGCCGACUAGGAAUCAGACGAUGUUAAUUUUUUAAUGACUCGUUUGG